UACAGAGGGUGCGAGCGUUUAAUCGGAAUUACUGGGCGUAAAGCGUGCGUAGACGGUCAAGUAAGUCGGGUGUGAAAGCCCCGGGCUCAACCUGGGAAUUGCAUUCGAGACUGCGUGGCUAGGGUGCGGAAGAGGGAAGCGGAAUUUCCGGUGUAGCGGUGAAAUGCGCAGAUAUCGGGAAGAACACCCGUGGCGAAGGCGGCUCUCUGGGACGGUACUGGACGCUGAGACGCGAAAGCGUGGGGAGCGAACAGG
rnacentral:rRNA from 1 species